rnacentral:rRNA from 1 species
CCUACGGGUGGCAGCAGUCGAGAAUUUUUCUCAAUGGGGGAAACCCUGAAGGAGCGACGCCGCGUGGAGGAUGAAGGUCUUCGGAUUGUAAACUCCUGUCAUUUGAGAACUAGUAUCAGAAGAGGAAGAGACGGCUAACUCUGUGCCAGCAGCCGCGGUAAUACAGAGGUCUCGAGCGUUGUUCGGAUUCAUUGGGCGUAAAGGGUGCGUAGGUGGCGUCGUAAGUCAGGUGUGAAAUCUCGGGGCUCAACCCCGAAACUGCACUUGAUACUGCGAUGCUUGAGUACUGGAGAGGAGAUUGGAAUUUACGGUGUAGCAGUGAAAUGCGUAGAUAUCGUAAGGAAGACCAGUGGCGAAGGCGAAUCUCUGGACAGUACUGACACUGAGGCACGAAGGCCAGGGGAGCAAACGGGAUUAGAUACCCUUGUAGUC